rnacentral:rRNA from 1 species
UACGGAGGGAGCUAGCGUUAUUCGGAAUUACUGGGCGUAAAGCGCACGUAGGCGGCUUUGUAAGUAAGAGGUGAAAGCCUGGAGCUCAACUCCAGAAUUGCCUUUUAGACUGCAUCGCUUGAAUCAUGGAGAGGUGAGUGGAAUUCCGAGUGUAGAGGUGAAAUUCGUAGAUAUUCGGAAGAACACCAGUGGCGAAGACGGCUCACUGGACAUGUAUUGACGCUGAGGUGCGAAAGCGUGGGGAGCAAACAGG